CUUCAAAACCUUGCCAUCUCCUUCCUACUUUCCGGCCAUGCCAUACCAUUUACCACCUCCAAAAACUACCAAUGUUCACUGAAAUUCGACGGAGUUUAUGUCGAUACGUCAAUGGAAGCACCCAAUAUUUGUACAUAGUAGAUGGUGUUGUCAAUAUCCGUGGCAUAUAAGUCAACUUUUCCCAUUACAAAAUCAACAAUUUGUUCUUUUGGAAUUUGAUCCAUUUACAGGCUACUCUGAAGAAGACGACGACUGAAUAAUUAACUACUCUGAAGCGGAUGAUGAUGAUGUUAUUUUCAUCACUGGGAUUAAAAUCCACCUGUUCCAAGUUGCCAUCUUUGUUUUUGUUUCCAUUUCAAUUGUUCAACAGCUAAGGAUGCCGGUUGCACACCAGGUGUUCGAUAAAAUGCCAACACCAACUAUCUGCAAAUUUUCAGGUACGGAAAAGGACCUUACUGAACUAGAGCAUUGCAUGUCAAGACUCACUGGAAGUGAAGGGAAUAGUAAGGGAAUCCCACACCGAAAGAGCCCUACUAGGGGUAGAUCCCAUGACCUUGAAGUCAUAAGGCCAAACUUUUACCACUAGGCCAAACCUCACUUGAUACGUCACUCUGUGACUCUGCUAUAUGCUAUUGAGUUAUCUUCUCAUUUCUGAAGUCCUUAUCACAGGUCUUCCUGAGAUGGACUUCUCACGUCACUCUGCUAAAUUUCAGAGAACGUUACUUCGUACUAGGGAUGGAUAUAUGUAACUAAAAAUAGCACCACGGCAAUUUGAUUCGUAUGAGGGAGCAUAUAAGAAAAGUUGGAGUCAGCAAAGAUGACUCUCUUAAUUUGGUGGUUUUGAUUUUGUUCAAAAAGGUGGAUGAAGAAAUUGAUUCUGCAAAACUGCACUCCCACAAAUAGACCAAGAAAGCAAGCAUUACAGGUGAAAAAGGUACUGAUAGCGCUAAGAGUAAUACUUUAACUAUACUCCAUUUCAAUUUCAAUUUCAAUUUCAAUUUCAAUUUCAAUGGUGUUAUGACUUAUGAAUAAUACUAAAACUGAACAUAAAUUAAGUGAACAUAAAUCUUUGAUAAAAUGUAAGCUUGUAUAUUAAAGCAUAAAAACAUAAGUGGAAACUUAUAACAGGCAAAAACCCCCACUUAUGGGAGGAAAAAGCCCUACUCGCCCUUGGAGGUGUCUCCCUAAGGAGAACUUUUUAUA